rnacentral:rRNA from 1 species
GACGAACGCUGGCGGCGUGCUUAACACAUGCAAGUCGAACGGUAAGGCUCCAGCUUGCUGGGGUACACGAGUGGCGAACGGGUGAGUAACACGUGGGUGACCUGCCCUGCACUUCGGGAUAAGCCUGGGAAACUGGGUCUAAUACCGGAUAGGACCAUGGUGUGGAUACUGUGGUGGAAAGUUUUUUCGGUGUGGGAUGGGCCCGCGGCCUAUCAUCUUGUUGGUGGGGUAAUGGCCUACCAAGGCGGCGACGGGUAGCCGGCCUGAGAGGGUGGACGGCCACAUUGGGACUGAGACACGGCCCAGACUCCUACGGGAGGCAGCAGUGGGGAAUAUUGCACAAUGGGCGGAAGCCUGAUGCAGCGACGCCGCGUGGGGGAUGACGGCCUUCGGGUUGUAAACUCCUUUCACCAUCGACGAAGGGUUUCUGACGGUAGAUGGAGAAGAAGCACCGGCUAACUACGUG